UGGGGAAUAUUGGACAAUGGGGGAAACCCUGAUCCAGCGACGCCGCGUGUAGGGAUAGAAGGCCUGCGGGUUGUAAAGCAUCUUUUAGUAGAGAAUAAGCGAAAGUGAAGGUACCUGCAGAAGAAGCACCGGCUAACUAUGUG
rnacentral:rRNA from 1 species